ensembl:misc_RNA 7SK 7SK RNA
GGCUGUGAGGGAACUCUGACUAUGACAUCUGUCACCCCACUCAUCCCCAGGGUUGAUUGGGCUGGGCUGGUUGGUUAAGUGGGUGUCUCUUCCCUCCUUCUCUGCUCCAGGUGCAUCCCUCCAGGGAUGUGCUCCAUCAAAGAGGAUGACAUUUCCCAAAUAGAGACAUACUGGAUAGAGGAGGGUAUAUGAGUCGCUGUGGUCCUCUGCUGGGGCCUCUAAACCAGCUCUCAAAACCACAUUUAUCUUCUGGAGAAAGAAAAAUGCUACAGUGAGUAGACUCAUGAUCUUACCUU